rnacentral:lncRNA from 1 species
AUUCUAAUCAACUAAUUUAAUAUCUAAGGUAAGUAUCUAGAUGAUAGUUAUUUAAUUAGUUUCAUUGUCUGAUCUGACCAAUUUGAUUGAUGUCUAAGAAAAGCAAUAGGGAGAUCCCUACUCAUCUUAACUUACCUAACCACCUUGAGAGAUUCAGUUUCAUGCUAGGUUGUUGACUCAAGUUCAGCCAUGCCGACUAAACUGGUUAGAUAUGUAGAUGUGUUGACCUAAAUUUGAUCAGUUGAAUAUUAUAUCUGCUAAUUUAGAAG